rnacentral:rRNA from 1 species
AAUAUUGGACAAUGGGCGCAAGCCUGAUCCAGCCAUGCCGCGUGAGUGAAGAAGGCCUUCGGGUUGUAAAGCUCUUUCGGACGGAAGGAAGGGGCGCAGACUAAUACCCUGCGCGGCUGACGGUACCGUCAGAAGAUGCACCGGCUAACUUCGUGCCAGCAGCCGCGGUAAUACGUAGGGUGCGAGCGUUAAUCGGAAUUACUGGGCGUAAAGCGGGCGCAGGCGGUUGAUUAAGACAGGCGUGAAAGCCCCGGGCUUAACCUGGGAACUGCGUUUGUGACUGGUGAGCUAGAGUACGGUAGAGGGGGGUGGAAUUCCCUGUGUAGCAGUGAAAUGCGUAGAGAUGUGAAGGAACACCGAUGGCGAAGGCAGCCCCCUGGACCGAUACUGACGCUCAUGCACGAAAGCGUGGGGAGCAAACAGG